GACGGAGGGGGCUAGCGUUGUUCGGAAUUACUGGGCGUAAAGCGCGCGUAGGCGGUCUAGUAAGUUGGAAGUAAAAUCCCGGGGCUUAACCUCGGAAUGUCUUUCAAAACUGCUAAGCUAGAGUGUAGUAGGGGAUGAUGGAAUUCCUAGUGUAGAGGUGAAAUUCUUAGAUAUUAGGAGGAACACCGGUGGCGAAGGCGAUCAUCUGGGCUAUAACUGACGCUGAUGCGCGAAAGCGUGGGGAGCAAACAGG
rnacentral:rRNA from 1 species